rnacentral:rRNA from 1 species
CAGUCGCCGCUGUAACACGUAGGGUGCGAGCGUUAAUCGGAAUUACUGGGCGUAAAGCGUGCGCAGGCGGUUCGUUAAGACAGAUGUGAAAUCCCCGGGCUUAACCUGGGAACUGCAUUUGUGACUGGCGAGCUAGAGUAUGGCAGAGGGGGGUAGAAUUCCACGUGUAGCAGUGAAAUGCGUAGAGAUCUGGAGGAAUACCGGUGGCGAAGGCGGCCCUCUGGACAAAGACUGACGCUCAGGUGCGAAAGCGUGGGGAGCAAACAGGAUUUGAUACCCGGGUAGUCCCUGUCUCUUAUAC